CCAUGAACUUGCUUUACCAUUUUAUUUAAUAUUUCCUUCUAAAUGUUUUCUAGGCCUUCUGGGAAUGGUCAUGGGAGGAACUAGUUGACUAUGACCUUCCAGCUUUAUUCCACUAUGUGCAAGAUCAGACAGGGCAGACUCAGCAUUAUGUAGGGCAUUCCUUGAGGGAAUUUUGAUUGCUUUGGGUGCUUUCUCUCAAGCGAAGCUGUUAAAUAUGGUAAGAUAAGCUGCUUUGCUAUGUCCAGUUGCUUAUCUGGGUCAGAUACCUUCACCACUUCCAAGAAUUAUCGUUGAACUCUUUAUAUCAGAAGGAGGAACUGUACUUGUUCGAUGUCCGUGGAUUCAUUCCAAAUGGUUGAUAGGCCCGAAUUGCUGCGUCAAUACUUCGACGGAAAAAGCUUUAAACAAGUAUGAACCCCAGUCAACUGCAACUAGGAAAAUAACGCACCUAUGCCAGAUGAUCAGAAGGGGAAACAUUGCAAAGUAUGAUUAUGGUAAUGAAGAUGAUAAUGUGAAACACUAUGGGCAGCCUACUCCUCCUGCUUACCACAUUAAAAGCAUUCCUAAAAAUGUUCCUCUUUUUUAUCAGCUAUGCAUGAAAAGAUACACUUUCUGAUGUGUAUGAUGUGCAAGUUUUGCUAGAUGACCUAACAGAUGAUGCAGACAAGCUGGUGGUAAAGUACAGGGAUUUUUCUUGGUGUGCUAAUUUGACUGAGUAAUACCUGUAAUAUAAUCAUUGGAUGAGCAAGUGAUAAACCGAGCAGAAAAGUGAAGCAUAAAAUUUUCGAUCGUCGAGUUACAAGUGCAUGCUGAGAAAAAUUACAAAAACAAGGAUUUGAAUCUUUCACAAACGAGCAGACACACACACACUCUCUCUCUCAUAGAGAUAGAGAGAGAGAGAGAGAGAGAUAAAGAGAUAGAGAAGCAUUGGUGGCAAUUUAUCCCCCAUUAAUGUAAGUUGUUUUUCUGAACAAAAUAGAAAAUGUUAUGCAAGGCAGAUCCUGCGUUAAUAUAAAGAAUUUAUCAUUGAAUCUUUAUUUGUGCUUCAUUGACUGGUUUUUCAGCAUUAUUGAUCAUUUUCAUAAUGGAUAUUGUAGAAUGUGAUUCAUCUCUUUGUAAAUUGCUCAAUUUUGAACUAUUGUCAUUAUGAGCCAUGCUUAUGAUAUUAUGUUAUUCGAUGUGAU